rnacentral:rRNA from 1 species
AUUGAACGCUGGCGGCAGGCCUAACACAUGCAAGUCGGACGAGUGGCGGACGGGUGAGUAAUGUCUGGGAAACUGCCUGAUGGCGGGGGAUAACUACUGGAAACGGUAGCUAAUACCGCAUACUAUCAGAUGUGCCCAGAUGGGAUUAGCUAGUUGGUGGGGUAAAGGCUCACCUAGGCGACGAUCCCUAGCUGGUCUGAGAGGAUGACCAGCAACACUGGAACGGAGACACGGCCCAGACUCAUACGGGAGGAAGCAGUGGGGAAUAUUGGACAAGGGGCGCAAGCCUGAUACAGCCAUGCCGCGUGUAUGAAGAAGGCCUUCGGGUUGUAAAGUACGUUCAGCGGGGAGGCGUUACCCGCAGAAGAAGCGCCGGCUAACUCCGUGCCAGCAGCCGCGGUAAUUC